rnacentral:pre_miRNA from 1 species
ACCCAUGGGUUGACUGCUACAGUAAAUGCCCACGGCCCAGAUUGAAUCUGAGCCGAUCUGAUGGUCACGAUCUCAUUUCACAUUUGAAUUUUCAUUUUUUUUCUACAGAUCCAAAUCACUUGAAAUUUGGGUGUCUAUUCUUCAAAAAUCAUAGAAUCUAAUAAAAAUACAAAAAAAAUAAUUCGUAAAAUAUAAAUUAAGUCAAUUUAUAUUUUACUAGUUAUUUUUUUUAUAUAUUAUUUGGUGCGCCUUGAUGAGAAGAAUGAACGUCCCAAAUUUCAAGUGAUUUGGAUUUGUUGAAAAAAAAACGUAAAAUUCAACUACGAAAUGAGGCCGUGAUCGUCAAAUUGGCUCAUAUUCAAUUUAGGCCAUGAGCGUUAAUGUAGCAGUCAGCCCGUCGGU